AUGGACUUGAGGACCCCUGCUCAGCUCCUGGGGCUCCUGCUGCUCUGGUUCCCAGGUGCCAGAUGUGACAUCCAGAUGACCCAGUCUCCAGCCACCCUGUCUGCAUCUCCAGGAGACAAAGUCUCUAUCACUUGCCGUGCCAGUCAGGGCAUUAGCAAUAAUUUAGCCUGGUAUCAGCAGAAACCAGGGAAAGCUCCAAAGCCCCUUAUCUAUUAUGCAACUAGUUUGGAAUCUGGGGUCCCAUCAAGGUUCAGUGGCAGUGGAUCUGGGACAGAGUUUACUCUCACUAUCAGCAGCCUGCAGCCUGAAGAUGUUGCCACUUAUUACUGUCAACAGCAUUAUAGUUCUCCUCCCACAGUGAUACAAUUCAUUACAAAAACCUCCCAGGGAAGCAGAAGCCUCACCCCACUGACCAGGUGUCAGCCUGCUGGUGUCAAGAAACACGCAAUUCUCUCCAGCUUUCCAAAUUUCGGAGGAACAUCACCUGAUGAUGCAACUCUGCAGGAAACCAGAAUGGCGAACAAAGCCAAUAAUCAGCAGAUUCCCAGAGCCCAGAGCAAGGGAGAGCAGCAGUGA